rnacentral:rRNA from 1 species
UCGAACGGCAGCGAGGAGAAGCUUGCUUCUCUGUCGGCGAGUGGCGAACGGGUGAGUAUAGCAUCGGAACGUGCCAAGUAGUGGGGGAUAACCAAACGAAAGUUUGGCUAAUACCGCGUAAGCUCCAAGGAGGAAAGUAGGGGACCUAAAUAAGGCCUUACGCUAUUUGAUCGGCCGAUGUCGGAUUAGCUAGUUGGUGGGGUAAUGGCUCACCAAGGCAAUGAUCCGUAGCGGGUCUGAGAGGACGAUCCGCCACACUGGGACUGAGACACGGCCCAGACUCCUACGGGAGGCAGCAGUGGGGAAUUUUGGACAAUGGGGGAAACCCUGAUCCAGCCAUGCCGCGUGUAUGAAGAAGGCCUUAGGGUUGUAAAGUACUUUUGUUAGGGAAGAAAAGCUAGUUUUUAAUAAAAAUUAGUGAUGACGGUACCUAAAGAAUAAGCACCGGCUAACUACGUGCCAGCAGCCGCGGUAAUACGUAGGGUGCAAGCGUUAAUCGGAAUUAUUGGGCGUAAAGCGAGUGCAGACGGUUACUUAAGCCAGAUGUGAAAUCCCCAAGCUUAACUUGGGACGUGCAUUUGGAACUGGGUGACUAGAGUGUGUCAGAGGGAGGUAGAAUUCCACAUGUAGCGGUGGAAUGCGUAGAGAUGUGGAGGAAUACCGAUGGCGAAGGCAGCCUCCUGGGAUAACACUGACGUUGAGGCUCGAAAGCGUGGGGAG